rnacentral:rRNA from 1 species
UACGUAGGGUGCAAGCGUUGUCCGGAAUUAUUGGGCGUAAAGAGCUCGUAGGCGGUUUGUCGCGUCUGCUGUGAAAACCUAAGGCUCAACCUUGGGCUUGCAGUGGGUACGGGCAGACUAGAGUGCGGUAGGGGUGACUGGAAUUCCUGGUGUAGCGGUGGAAUGCGCAGAUAUCAGGAGGAACACCGAUGGCGAAGGCAGGUUACUGGGCCGCAACUGACGCUGAGGAGCGAAAGCAUGGGGAGCGAACAGG